rnacentral:ncRNA from 2 species
AAGAGAUAGUCGGGGAGCUUUUCGCUGAGAUCGCUGUGCGAGACCCGUUGAACCUGAACAGAUAAUACUGGCGUAGGGAACUAUGAAUAUUGCAGA